GAUCUAGCAGUGGGUCUAGCAGCUACCAGAAUUUCGAGGUAGUGAAGGGCAUAAAUGCUGCUCUGAGGCAUCUGCAGCAGCUAUAAUGGGAUACAAAAUAAUCUAUGCUUGGUAUUAGCGACAAUGUCACAAGUACUGCUAACGCUACUCUGAUUUGUUGCCUAUAUUCAUAACUGAAAUAAGUGCUGCAUUUCAGCUGGAGGUCAGCAAAAAUAAAGGUACAGGGUUUUGUCCUAUCCAAGUUCACAGACCCAGAUCACAAAUGCCUGCAUUAGAGUCGUGACGAGCACUUUUUUAAUGAAAGAAUAAUACACAUAGAUCAGCGUGCAUUGCUAAUAAUAAGAGUCCUCGUCACAGUCAACAACGUCUGUGAGUUACUGCAGCUUGUCCCUCUCGGUGAGCUCCAUGCAGGCAACGACCUAGUCUUACCUGUGUUCCAAGCACCCAGCACCGAGCCUGGCCUGGGGUGGAGGGAGAGAAAAUGAGCAUUGACAAGGGAUGUCGCUCAAGACGGCAGGAGGAGUUGACCUCACAGUCAACUGCUACAGGUCCAGCUUCUCGCUCCUGAAGA
rnacentral:lncRNA from 1 species